UCGGGAAUUUUGGGCAAUGGACGAAAGCCUGACCCAGCAACGCCGCGUGAGGGAUGAAGUAUUUCGGUAUGUAAACCUCGAAAGAAUGGGAAGAAUAAAUGACGGUACCAUUUAUAAGCUCCGGCUAACUACGUGCCAGCAGCCGCGGUAAUACGUAGGGAGCAAGCGUUGUUCGGAUUUACUGGGCGUAAAGGGCGCGUAGGCGGCGCGGUAAGUCACUUGUGAAAUCUCUGAGCUUAACUCAGAGCGGCCAAGUGAUACUGCUGUGCUAGAGUGCGGAAGAGGCAACCGGAAUUCUGGGUGUAGCGGUGAAAUGCGUAGAUAUCAAGAGGAACACCUGAGGCGAAGGCGGGUUGCUGGGCCGACACUGACGCUGAUGCGCGAAAGCCAGGGGAGCAAACG
rnacentral:rRNA from 1 species